rnacentral:rRNA from 1 species
AAAACAUUAGGUGGCAGACGGGUGAGUAUGCAUANGGAUCUACCUAUUAGUAUGGGAUAGCCACUAGAAAUGGCGAUAUAAUACUGUAUAAUCCCUGCGGGGGAAAGAUUUAUCGCUCUUAGAUGAGCCUAUGUUAGAUUAGCUAGUUGGUAGGGUAAAGGCCUACCAAGGCGAUGAUCUAUAGCUGGUCUGAGAGGAUGAUCAGCCACACUGGAACUGAGAUACGGUCCAGACUCCUACGGGAGGCAGCAGUGGGGAAUAUUGGACAAUGGGCGCAAGCCUGAUCCAGCUAUGCCGCGUGAGUGAGGAAGGCCUUAGGGUUGUAAAACUCUUUCAGUAGGGAAGAUAAUGACGGUACCUACAGAAGAAGUCCGGGCAAACUC